GAAGGGGUCCGAGCGUUGCGCGGAAUCAUUGGGCUUAAAGGGUGCGUAGGGCGGACUUGCAAGUGCUUUGUGAAAUCCCCCGGCUCAACCGGGGAACUGCUGGGCAGACUGCGAGUCUUGAGGUCGGCAGAGGUGGUCGGAACUCUAGGUGUAGCGGUGAAAUGCGUAGAUAUCUAGAGGAACGCCAAAGGUGAAAACAGGCCACUGGGCCGAAUCUGACGCUGAGGCACGAAAGCGUGGGUAGCGAACGGGAUUAGAUACCCCGGUAGUCCACGCCCUAAACGAUGUGCACUAGUUCCCGGAGGUGCUGACACCAUCGGGGACGACGUAAAAACAUUAAGUGCACCGCCUGGGGAGUACGGUCGCAAGGCUA
rnacentral:rRNA from 1 species